CAGCAGCCACGGUAAUACAGAGGGUGCGAGCGUUAAUCGGAUUUACUGGGCGUAAAGCGUGCGUAGGCGGCUUCUUAAGUCGGAUUUGAAAUCCCUGAGCUUAACUUAGGAAUUGCAUUCGAUACUGGGAAGCUAGAGUAUGGGAGAGGAUGGUAGAAUUCCAGGUGUAGCGGUGAAAUGCGUAGAGAUCUGGAGGAAUACCGAUGGCGAAGGCAGCCAUCUGGCCUAAUACUGACGCUGAGGUACGAAAGCAUGGGGAGCAAACAGGAUUAGAUACCCCAGUAGUCCCUGUCUCUUAUAC
rnacentral:rRNA from 1 species